rnacentral:tRNA from 1 species
UACAAUCUAGUGUACGAAGCACGUAAGCUUUUGAGGUUGAAAAGAACAGUUUAAUUCUGGGGGUUGUAA